CCUACGGGAGGCAGCAGUGGGGAAUAUUGCACAAUGGGGGAAACCCUGAUGCAGCGACGCCGCGUGAGUGAAGAAGUAUUUCGGUAUGUAAAGCUCUAUCAGCAGGGAAGAAAAUGACGGUACCUGAUGAAGAAGCCCCGGCUAAAUACGUGCCAGCAGCCGCGGUAAUACGUCGGGGGCAAGCGGUAACCGGAUUUACUGGGGGUAAAGGGAGCGUAGACGGCAGCACAAGUCUGGAGUGAAAUGCCCGGGCUUAACCCUGGAACUGCUUUGGAAACUGUGCAGCUAGAGUGCAGGAGAGGUAAGUGGAAUGCGUAGUGUAGCGGUGAAAUGCGUAGAUAUUAGGAGGAACACCAGUGGCGAAGGCGGCUUACUGGACUGUAACUGACGUUGAAGCUCGAAAGCGUGGGGAGCGAACAGGAUUAGAUACCCGUGUAGUC
rnacentral:rRNA from 1 species